ACCUGUUGUAUUCCUCGAAACACACAAUUGUCUCUGAUCUCCUUAUUUUUAUCCUCUAACAACUGACGUUGAUUGAUCGCGUCCUUUGUGCAUUUGUCACGAAUCUCUUCUGGUUUCUUGUCUAUCAUGUUAAUCACAUUAACUCCAUUCUCAGACACAUUCUGUUCCUUCUGCUCUUUAGUAACCGGCGUAAUUUCCUCCAAAGGUAAGAUAUUCUUUUCUUCCUCUAACCACUUUCUAGCUUUAGCCAAUUCCUCCGUGGAAACACCUAUUGUAUGUCUGGUUCCUCUUCGUCUUCUGCUCAAGGACGUCGAUGGUAACACCGAUGGUAUUUUCUCUUUAGUUUUUUCCUCAGGCAUUUGUAGUCUGGACAAUAAACUCGACACCAGUCUUAACAACUGUAAUUUACUUGUAGGAUCGGAAGCAGCACCGUGUUUAGCCAGUGCAGCCACAUCAAUCUUCUCCAAGGUCUCGCGAAGACGCGACAGGGCGGUUUUUGCCCAACGCUUGGUCCAUCGAAUUGCGCAUCCGGAAAUCCUCCUCAGAAUCGACGCCGGAAUCCUCGAGCACAGCUGGUGGCUCAUCGUCGCGACGACUUCCUAGGGAAAGCUCGAGCGCUGCGCGUAGACGAUCUACCAGAUGCGGUAAUGAAUUCCACUCACCGACUGGCGCGUUCCGUCCAUCGAUGGUGGUACCUGUUGUGGUCGACGUAUUCGUGGCCUCUUCUUUUCUAAUCGCGUUCUCUUCGAGUCUCGAGAUGCCUUUGUCCUUGUCGUCCACGGUUCCCGUGCUCGAACCCGCUGAAAAAGAAACGACACGAAGCAAGGGUUGAACCCAACAGACGAGCUGAAGAACUUGUGAGACAGCACAUGAGUGAAGUUAAAAGUUGUAUGCAUGAAGAGUAAUCAUGUGUUGGUUCGAGACAUGGCAAGAGAAGAGAGAAGAAACGUGGAACGCCUGAAACGCGUUUUCGCGAGGAGGAGCCGCUUGGCUUGACCGGCAGUCGCGCUCGCUUUAUUUAAAAGCCACGGGAUUCUCCGCGAGGAUUUAUUUUCGGUCGCUCGUUCAACGCCUCGCGACUACCCACCAGAGGAGAGAGGCUUGACGAAUCGUGAACGAAGCCGCGAGACAAGAGAUCGGUGCCGGAUGGGGCCGGCUAAUUCAAACUGAAUACUAUCCAGUAUAUUUCGUUAUUUUACAAUUUCAAAAUAUUUUUUAAAAUAUUCUCUAGUUUCUCUUGUGAUCAUUCAUAUAAGUCGAUAAUAAUAGAUAAUAGAUACUUGUGUAUAAGGAGUUAAAUUUUUGUUUUUUGAUAAGGAGCCAGAUGGAUCAACCUCUUCUUCUUCGUUAUUACACAAUGAUAGAUUUUAUAUAUAACGUUGAUGGAAUUGGUUUUUAAUCCCUUAUUGAAAUUAUCUUCGAUUCGUUAAAAAUAUCUUUUGAAAUGUGUAUUCGGUGAUCAUUAUGAAUUAACAUCAUUCUAGAUUUCAGUAGAGUUUAUAUUAUAAUAGUUAUUAUAUUAAAUUGUCAGUCAUUUUCAACAGUCUCUGUGUCACAAUCAUUGAUAACAAUCAUAGAGAGAAAAGAAAAAUUAAAAUGAAUGAAAUUAAUGAAA